AGAGUUUGAUCCUGGCUCAGGAUGAACGCUAGCGGCAGGCUUAACACAUGCAAGUCGAGGGGCAGCGGGGAGGAAGCUUGCUUUCUCCGCCGGCGACCGGCGCACGGGUGAGUAACACGUAUGCAACCUGCCCCUGUCAGGGGGACAACCCGCCGAAAGGCGGGCUAAACCCGCGUACAUGCCACCGGGGCAUCCCGGAGGCAGGAAAGGCUUCGGCCGGACAGGGAUGGGCAUGCGGCGCAUUAGGCAGUAGGCGGGGUAACGGCCCACCUAACCGACGAUGCGUAGGGGUUCUGAGAGGAAGGUCCCCCACACUGGUACUGAGACACGGACCAGACUCCUACGGGAGGCAGCAGUGAGGAAUAUUGGUCAAUGGUCGGGAGACUGAACCAGCCAAGCCGCGUGAGGGAUGAAGGUACAGAGUAUCGUAAACCUCUUUUGUCAGGGAACAAAGGCGGGGACGUGUCCCCGGAUGAGUGUACCUGAAGAAAAAGCAUCGGCUAACUCCGUGCCAGCAGCCGCGGUAAUACGGAGGAUGCGAGCGUUAUCCGGAUUUAUUGGGUUUAAAGGGUGCGCAGGCGGUCUGUUAAGUCAGCGGUCAAAGCCCGGGGCUCAACCCCGGCCCGCCGUUGAAACUGGCAGUCUCGAGUUGGAGAGAAGUAUGCGGAAUGCGCGGUGUAGCGGUGAAAUGCAUAGAUAUCGCGCAGAACUCCGAUUGCGAAGGCAGCAUGCCGGCUCCACACUGACGCUGAGGCACGAAAGCGUGGGUAUCGAACAGGAUUAGAUACCCUGGUAGUCCACGCAGUAAACGAUGAAUGCUGGCUGUCCGGGGGGAUUGACCCCUGGGUGGCGAAGCGAAAGCGAUAAGCAUUCCACCUGGGGAGUACGCCGGCAACGGUGAAACUCAAAGGAAUUGACGGGGGCCCGCACAAGCGGAGGAACAUGUGGUUUAAUUCGAUGAUACGCGAGGAACCUUACCCGGGCUCAAACGGGGAGUGGCGCAGGCAGAGACGCCUGUUUCCCACGGGACACUCCCCGAGGUGCUGCAUGGUUGUCGUCAGCUCGUGCCGUGAGGUGUCGGCUUAAGUGCCAUAACGAGCGCAACCCCCGCGUGCAGUUGCUAACAGUCAACGCUGAGGACUCUGCACGGACUGCCGGCGCAAGCCGCGAGGAAGGCGGGGAUGACGUCAAAUCAGCACGGCCCUUACGUCCGGGGCGACACACGUGUUACAAUGGGUGGUACAGCGGGAAGCCAGGCGGCGACGCCGAGCGGAACCCGAAAUCCACUCUCAGUUCGGAUCGGAGUCUGCAACCCGACUCCGUGAAGCUGGAUUCGCUAGUAAUCGCGCAUCAGCCAUGGCGCGGUGAAUACGUUCCCGGGCCUUGUACACACCGCCCGUCAAGCCAUGGGAGCCGAGGGCGCUUGAAGUGCGUCGCCGCGAGGCGCGCCCUAGAGCGAAAUCGGUGACUGGGGCUAAGUCGUAACAAGGUAGCCGU
rnacentral:rRNA from 1 species